GCCUCCGGGGCGACCCUGCCUUCGGGCGGGGGCUCCGGGUGGACACUUCAAACUCUUGCGUAACUUUGCAGUCUGAGUAAACUUAAUUAAUAAAUUAAAACUUUUAACAACGGAUCUCUUGGUUCUGGCAUCGAUGAAGAACGCAGCGAAAUGCGAUAAGUAAUGUGAAUUGCAGAAUUCAGUGAAUCAUCGAAUCUUUGAACGCACAUUGCGCCCCCUGGUAUUCCGGGGGGCAUGCCUGUUCGAGCGUCAUUUCACCACUCAAGCCUCGCUUGGUAUUGGGCAACGCGGUCCGCCGCGUGCCUCAAAUCGUCCGGCUGGGUCUUCUGUCCCCUAAGCGUUGUGGAAACUAUUCGCUAAAGGGUGUUCGGGAGGCUACGCCGUAAAACAACCCCAUUUCUAAGGUUGACCUCGGAUCAGGUAGGGAUACCCGCUGAACUUAAGCAUA
rnacentral:rRNA from 1 species